rnacentral:rRNA from 1 species
AACGAACGCUGGCGGCAUGCCUAACACAUGCAAGUCGAACGAGAUCUUCGGAUCUAGUGGCGCACGGGUGCGUAACACGUGGGAAUCUGCCCUUUGGUUCGGAAUAACUCAGGGAAACUUGAGCUAAUACCGGAUGAUGACGUAAGUCCAAAGAUUUAUCGCCAAAGGAUGAGCCCGCGUAGGAUUAGCUAGUUGGUAGGGUAAAGGCCUACCAAGGCGACGAUCCUUAGCUGGUCUGAGAGGAUGAUCAGCCACACUGGGACUGAGACACGGCCCAGACUCCUACGGGAGGCAGCAGUGGGGAAUAUUGGACAAUGGGGGAAACCCUGAUCCAGCAAUGCCGCGUGAGCGAUGAAGGCCUUAGGGUUGUAAAGCUCUUUUACCCGGGAUGAUAAUGACAGUACCGGGAGAAUAAGCCCCGGCUAACUCCGUGCCAGCAGCCGCGGUAAUACGGAGGGGGCUAGCGUUGUUCGGAAUUACUGGGCGUAAAGCGCACGUAGGCGGCUAUUCAAGUCAGGGGUGAAAGCCCGGGGCUCAACCCCGGAAUUGCCCUUGAAACUAGAUAGCUAGAAUCAUGGAGAGGUGAGUGGAAUUCCGAGUGUAGAGGUGAAAUUCGUAGAUAUUCGGAAGAACACCAGUGGCGAAGGCGGCUCACUGGAC